UAUGGAGGGUGCAAGCGUUGUCCGGAUUUAUUGGGUUUAAAGGGCGCGUAGGCGGCCUGCUAAGUCGAACGUGAAAUCCCUGGGCUCAACCCAGGAACUGCGUCCGAUACUGGUUGGCUUGAAUCCGGGAGAGGGAUGUGGAAUUCCAGGUGUAGCGGUGAAAUGCGUAGAUAUCUGGAGGAACACCGGUGGCGAAGGCG
rnacentral:rRNA from 1 species